AAACUUCUCUCUAUAUUUUCUCUCUCCAAUGUUCUUCUAAAUUCCUAAGUUUUCCAGAACUUAUCUCAUCUUUGAUAAGCUUUGAUUUCUAUCUUCAAUCGCAAGUCCCGAUUCUGUCCGUUGCAUUAAUUAAAGCAUAAGCGGUUCUGUCAAUACGACACUGUCAACACGAUCUUCGUGGGGAGGUAAUUUCCUAAAAGUGGUUGAGCUAGGCUAGAGUAGUGCCCAGAUUGCUCCCAAUACUU
rnacentral:lncRNA from 1 species